rnacentral:rRNA from 2 species
ANAGUUUGAUCCUGGCUCAGGACGAACGCUGGCGGCGUGCCUAACACAUGCAAGUCGAACGAAGUAUAUUUUCGGAUAUGCUUAGUGGCGGACGGGUGAGUAACGCGUGAACAAUCUGCCCUGUACACAGGAAUAGCCUCGGGAAACUGGGAUUAAAACCGGAUAACACUUCCUGGCCGCAUGGCCGGGAAGUCAAAUUGAUUUAGAGGUACAGGAUGAGUUCGCGUCUGAUUANCUAGUUGGUGAGGUAACGGCUCACCAAGGCGACGAUCAGUANCCGGCCUGAGAGGGUGAACGGCCACACUGGAACUGAGACACGGUCCANACUCCUACGGGANGCACAGUGGGGAAUAUUGCCCAUGGAGGAAAUCUGAUNCACGACCCNCNUGAUUNAAAAAGUCUCCCGAUNCUUAAAACUCUGUCCNUGGUGACAAAAAAAUGACGGUANCCAAGAAGAANCCCCGUUAAUNCUUNCCACACCCCCGUUUUCUUGGGNAACUUUUCAAUUCGNUUAGGUUGGG